ACUAGAUGGGCCGAAUGGUUCUUACCUGCCGUCACAUUCUAUGUUUCUAUCCCAGCUGCCAGUACACUAGACCGUGUGCAAGGGAGCAGUACAGGAGCAGCAUGAAAAAUACAGAGCGCCUUUGCCGCCAAACACCCCUCUGUAUUUUUGGGCAGAGUAGACACCGACAGUGCUGGUUGCCACUAUUCUCUAAUAUUAAUUUCUCUCAAUUAUUCUUUAACCGUUAGUUAAUGCUUAUUGAUUCUUAAUAGACUUGAUUCAUUUAUAGACCCAAACUGGUGAGACUUUGAAAUGUUCUUCAAGGGACUACUAUGGCUCAAAAUGCAUGAAGGAGUACUUGUUCUGAAUUUAACCCUUCUCUAUUUUUGUUUUUCUACAUUAC